GGUAUUGUGGAAGACUAUAAACCACCAUUUUAUGACUUGGUUCCUAACGAUCCCAGUUUUGAAGACAUGAGAAAAGUGGUCUGUGUAGAUCAGCAAAGGCCGAACAUUCCCAACAGAUGGUUCUCAGACCCUACAUUAACGUCUCUUGCCAAGUUGAUGAAAGAAUGCUGGUAUCAAAAUCCAUCAGCAAGACUAACAGCCCUGCGAAUCAAAAAGACUUUGACCAAAAUUGAUAAUUCCUUAGAUAAACUGAAAGCUGACUGUUGACCUUCUUCUCGUGGUGCUCUCCUGACAGGAAGGCAUUUGUCUGGUUCGGAAGUAGUCUGGCCAGGCAGUUUAUACGGUUGGUCCCCAUGUGGCUACUUAUAGAGGCAGAAGUUCUUACCAAGCCAUCUGUGUGGGAGACAUCGGAACCAUACGGACUGUGCUCAGUGACUACAAUGGGCAUUUCACAAAUGGUCAAGCUAUAAGGACUCACGCUGGAUGUACUGUUGCAAAGGUAGUGGCCUGAAGGAAGACAGAGAAAUCCUAAGACAAGAUCAGGGCAUUAAAUAAUGGCUUUGAACAGCUCUUUUCUUUUCUUUUUUUUUCUUUUUUUUUUUUUUUUUAAAUUCUCCUAAUCACUCCCAGGGUGAACACGUGGAAGUGGUAAAUUUUAAUCAGCAAUAUUGCCUGUGCUUCUCUUCUUUAUUGCACUAGGAAUUCUUUGCAUUCCUUACUUGCACUGUCACUGUUAAUUUUAAUGACAUGACUUGCCAAAAAUAUGAUUGGCUGUAUACUACAUUGAUCUAUGCCUGAAUAAUAGGAAAUGAAUUUGGUAAACUGAAAAUGUAACUGUCAGAUUUUAGCUGCAUUUUACAUGUGUACUGAUGUUUACAAUAAUGCUGAACAUUAGGAAUUUCUCGUUUAUACAAAACUUGCAAAUUAUUUAUUACUAGUGCACUUGCCAGUUUUUUUAAACUGUAAAAUAAGUGCAUAAAGUUAAAGCUUAUUUUUAUGUGGCCUCUUUCAUGAUUUCUUACACAGAUGUUUUUGUAACACAAUAUAACCCGAAACAUAAAUUGUUUUCUGUAUUAUCGUAUUACAACUUGAUAGUCACAUUUUAAGUGCUUCACAUUUGUAGGUGUGUGAUCUGUAACAUAUUUUCAGUUCAAAUACGGAACAUAUAUAUAGCCAUUACCCACAUGACAUUGUGUCUAGUAUCUUACUGAUCUAGAAGAGGAAAGCAAUGGAGGAAUUAACUAGAAUUUUAGGUCAUGAAUGCUGUGGGGAAGAUGCAUUUUAUUUCUUCUAAGCUAUAUAAUAUGCAUUUAAACUCUGCCAGAAAAAUAACUAUUUUGUUUUAAUCUACUUUUUCUAUUUAGUAGUUAUUUGUAUAAAUUAAAUAGAAUGUUUUCAAGUCAAA